rnacentral:tRNA from 1 species
GCCUGGGUGGCUCAGUCGGUUAAGCGGCCGACUUCAGCUCAGGUCAUGAUCUCGCAGUCUGUGAGUUCGAGCCCCGCCUCAGGCU